AAUGUGAAGUCUUUUCCUCGAAUACCUUUGGAAUGGAAAAAAAAGUAUGGAAUUGAAAGAUAACAAAAACGAACAUUAUUUAUAUCAUUUCAUCU
ensembl:ncRNA C11G10.9 ncRNA